GCCCUAGUAGCUCAGCAGGUAGAGCGCCCGGCUGUUAACCGGUAGGUCAGAGGUUCGAGUCCUCUCUAGGGCG
rnacentral:tRNA from 1 species